AAAGGAUUUAGUAUUAUUUACAAGAAUAAUAAGAAUAUAAUAAUAUUAAUACGAGUCGGUUGUGUUAAUUUCGGAUUUAUAAAGGUUAAACCGAGUUCACCCGAUCUAGAGUUACCACUUUUAGAAGGUUAUAAAAAGGGAAGCAAGAGGAGAAAUUUCAGAAAACCCUAAGUUUCCUUUCUCCUUCAGCCGUCAUCCCCCUUUCUUCUUCUCUCUCAAUUUCUCUCUCCUCUCUCGCACUGUUCUUCCUCAUCUCCCUCUCUCUCGCUGUUCGUCUCUCUCUUCGUCUCCCUCGCUGGGUUCUUCGCGGAUCCUUGUCGAGGUGUGCGAGUGAAGGGAGCGGGUGUGUGCAAGCGAACGUGCUGGUGUGUGGGUGAGCGAGCGAGUCCGUGUGUUCGAGGGACGUGCGAGGGCUGCGAGCGACGAAGCUGGUGCGAGGCUCGGGUGCGAGCAAAGGAGCGAGCAGGAGGGGCAUAGUGCGACGAAGCUCGAAGUGCGAGUCGAGUGGUUCGAGUGUUGAGCAAGCAGGAGGGGCUUAGUGCGACGAAGCUCGAAGUGCGAGUCGAGUGGUUCGAGUGUUGAGCGAGGGACGACGAAGCCUUGCGCAAGGCUGCUGCUGUGCGAGUUGUGCGAGUUGUGCGACGAAGCUCGAAACGUGCGCUGCUGCUGCUGUGCAAGUGGUGCGACGAAGUUGUUGCGCCGUUGCCGGAAAUCGGUCGCCGGAAAUUGAUUGCCGGCGAGCUUAACGGUCCCAAUUUCAUAAGCGGAACGUUCGAUUAAGACAGCGAAAAUUCUCCGUUACAAGACUAGGUGUGCUGGUGCUGCUGCAUAAUCUCGAGCAUACGGGGACUAGGCUUGGGUAUUUACAUUUAAAGCAUUUUGAAAUAAGUAUUAUUGGUUUUUCUAAGACUUAUAUAUGGUUUGUGGUUUGAAUGAAAGGGGUCAUUGAUGAUUCCCGAGUUGUAUUUAUA